GUUGCAGUUAAAAAGCUCGUAGUUGGAUUUCUGCGGGGACGGAGCGGCCGGACGCAACUUGCGUCUCGAGCUAGCGCUUUCCCCACAUCCUGCCGCGAACCGUGCUACCAUUAGUUUGGUGGCGCUGGGGAUCGGCUCGAUUACUUUGAGAAAAAUAGAGUGUUCAAAGCAGGCCACACGCCUUGAAUAAGUUAGCAUGGAAUAAUGACUAAGGACUUUGGUUCUUUUCGUUGGUGUUCGGGACUGAAGUAAUGAUUGAUAGGGACAGUUGGGGCGGUCCGUAUUCCAAAGCGAGAGGUGAAAUUCUUAGACCUUCGGAAGACGAACAGCUGCGAAAGCGUUCCGCAAGGAUGUUCCCUUUGAUCAAGAACGAAAGUUGGGGGAUCGAAGACGAUCAGAUACCGUCGUAGUCUCAACUAUAAACUAUACCAGCUAGGGAUCGGCCAACGUUUAAUUAUUCGACUUGGUCGGCACCUUAUGAGAAAUCAAAGCAUCUGGGUUCCGGGGGGAGUAUGGUCGCAAGGCUGAAACUUAAAGGAAUUGACGGAAGGGCACCACCAGGCGUGGAGCCUGUGGCUUAAUUUGACUCAACACGGGAAAACUUACCAGGUCCAGACAUAGGAAGGAUUGACAGAUUGAUAGCUCUUUCUUGAUUCUGUGGGUGGUGGUGCAUGGCCGUUUUUAGUCGGUGAAGUGAUUUGUCUGCUUAAUUGCGUUAACGGACGAGACCCCAGCCUGCUAAAUAGCGCGGCCGAGCUUUGCUCGGCACGAGCUUCUUA
rnacentral:rRNA from 1 species